rnacentral:rRNA from 1 species
GACAGAGGAUGCAAGCGUUAUCCGGAAUGAUUGGCGUAAAGCGUCUGUAGGUGGCUUUUAAGUCCGCCGUCAAAUCCCAGGGCUCAACCCUGGACAGGCGGUGGAAACUACCAAGCUGGAGUACGGUAGGGGCAGAGGGAAUUUCCGGGUGGAGCGGUGAAAUGCGUAGAGAUCGGGAAAGAACACCAACGGCGAAAGCAACUCUCGCUGGGGCCGACACUGACACUGAGAGACGAAAGCUAGGGGAGCGAAUGGG